UACGAAGGGGGCUAGCGUUGCUCGGAAUCACUGGGCGUAAAGCGCACGUAGGCGGCUUCUUAAGUCAGGGGUGAAAUCCUGGAGCUCAACUCCAGAACUGCCUUUGAUACUGAGGAGCUUGAGUCCGGGAGAGGUGAGUGGAACUCCGAGUGUAGAGGUGAAAUUCGUAGAUAUUCGGAAGAACACCAGUGGCGAAGGCGGCUCACUGGCACGGUACUGACGCUGAGGUGCGAAAGCGUGGGGAGCAAACAGG
rnacentral:rRNA from 1 species